rnacentral:rRNA from 1 species
AACGAACGCUGGCGGCAUGCCUAACACAUGCAAGUCGAACGAGACCUUCGGGUCUAGUGGCGCACGGGUGCGUAACGCGUGGGAACCUGCCCUUAGGUUCGGAAUAACUCCCCGAAAGGGGUGCUAAUACCGGAUAAUGUCUUCGGACCAAAGAUUUAUCGCCUUUGGAUGGGCCCGCGUUGGAUUAGCUAGUUGGUAGGGUAAAAGCCUACCAAGGCGACGAUCCAUAGCUGGUCUGAGAGGAUGAUCAGCCACACUGGGACUGAGACACGGCCCAGACUCCUACGGAAGGGAGGAGUGGGGAAUAUUGGACAAGGGGGGAAAGCCUGACCCAGCAAUGCGGGGUGAGUGAUGAAGGCCUUAGGGUUGUAAAGCUCUUUUACCCGGGAUGAUAAUGACGGUACCGGGAGAAUAAGCACCGGCUAACUCCGUG